CCACUUCUGAGGAGUCCCACAAUAGGACGAAAUGGCUUUCCAGUGG
rnacentral:hammerhead_ribozyme from 1 species